AUUUCUGUGAAUGAUAUUCAAGUUAUAAAGAAGACUGCAACAGGACCAGUAUCAGGAACUGUGCUUAAAGCUAUUUGGACAAAGCCGGAUGGAGAGAAGAUCCAAGUGGCAUUGAGAUAUGAUCGAGGCCAGUCCCAAAGGAAGCAUUUCCUUCACGAGGCCGAGUUAGCAACUUCAUUGAAUCACGAGAACAUCCUUCAUCUUUAUGGAGUCGUUUUACCAGGAUUGUACACCGAUUCUGUUGCUCUGGUCACAGAUUUUGCAAAGUAUGGAAACAUCCUUGAAGCCAGGUCGCACCUUAUCAUGUCAGUGGUCAAUGUAAUUCAA